rnacentral:rRNA from 1 species
GAUGAACGCUGGCGGCGUGCCUAAUACAUGCAAGUCGAGCGAACAGAUGAGAAGCUUGCUUCUCUGAUGUUAGCGGCGGACGGGUGAGUAACACGUGGGUAACCUACCUAUAGGACUGGGAUAACUCCGGGAAACCGGGGCUAAUACCGGAUAAUAUUUUGAACCGCAUGGUUCAAUAGUGAAAGACGGUUUCGGCUGUCACUUAUAGAUGGACCCGCGCCGUAUUAGCUAGUUGGUAAGGUAACGGCUUACCAAGGCGACGAUACGAAGCCGACCUUGGAGGGUGAUCGGCCACACUGGAACUGAGACACGGUCCUGACGCCUACGGGGGGCAGCAGUAGGGAAUCUUCCGCAAUGGGCGAAAGCCUGACGGAGCAACGCCGCGUGAGUGAUGAAGGUCUUCGGAUUGUAAAACGCUGUUGUUAGGGAAGAACAAAUUUGUUAGUAACUGAACAAGUCUUGACGGUACCUAACCAGAAAGCCACGGCUAACUACGUGCCAGCAGCCGCCGUAACAC